rnacentral:rRNA from 1 species
UGGGGAAUUUUGGACAAUGGGCGAAAACCUGAUCCAGCAAUGCCGCGUGUGUGAAGAAGGCCUUCGGGUUGUAAAGCACUUUUGUCCGGAAAGAAAUCCUUGGCUCUAAUACAGUCGGGGGAUGACGGUACCGGAAGAAUAAGCACCGGCUAACUACGUGCCAGCAGCCGCGGUAAUACGUAGGGUGCAAGCGUUAAUCGGAAUUACUGGGCGUAAAGCGUGCGCAGGCGGUUUGCUAAGACCGAUGUGAAAUCCCCGGGCUCAACCUGGGAACUGCAUUGGUGACUGGCAGGCUAGAGUAUGGCAGAGGGGGGUAGAAUUCCACGUGUAGCAGUGAAAUGCGUAGAGAUGUGGAGGAAUACCGAUGGCGAAGGCAGCCCCCUGGGCCAAUACUGACGCUCAUGCACGAAAGCGUGGGGAGCAAACAGGAUUAGAUACCCUGGUAGUCCACGCCCUAAACGAUGUCAACUAGUUGUUGGGGAUUCAUUUCCUUAGUAACGUAGCUAACGCGUGAAGUUGACCGCCUGGGGAGUACGGUCGCAAGAUUAAAACUCAAAGGAAUUGAC